UACGAGGGGUGCAAGCGUUGCUCGGAAUUAUUGGGCGUAAAGAGCGUGUAGGCGGCCAUGUAGGUCCGGUGUGAAAACUCGAGGCUUAACCUCGAGAUGUCAUCGGAAACCAUUUGGCUAGAGUCCGGAAGAGGAGAGUGGAAUUCCUGGUGUAGCGGUGAAAUGCGCAGAUAUCAGGAGGAACACCGGUGGCGAAGGCGGAUCUCUGGGCCAUUACUGACGCUGAGGAGCGAAAGCGUGGGGAGCGAACAGG
rnacentral:rRNA from 1 species